AAAAAGGUAGUCACCUGACUUGGAUUCCUGAAUCUCAGUGCAGUCUCAGGAUGGACCUGCAAACAGGUUAAAUUAAUGAUUACAGUUUUUUUCAGCUCAACAAAUCUUUCUAGACGCUGACUAGUGCAGGUCAAGGCUCGGGGGUUAGAGCUGUGGCUGAAUUCAUGUGAAAAUACCACAAGUGCUCGUGUGCGCGCGCUCGCUGGCUAAAGCCUGACGGCACGGCCUCAAACCGGGCAUGUGAAACACAGCAGCCGCAAAAAAUAACGGCGACAAAACAAGCGAGGGUUUCACAAACGGCACUGCAUUUCAGCACAACACUAAAAACGUCAGUACUGAAACUAGGGCUUUGGGUGACGGCAUUGGCAGGCACCAAAUCAGCCAGCACAAACGUUAUGGAACGCCCACGCCCGAUUCUCUCUCAUGGAAUAAACACUGCUUAAUGAAUUGGUCCUUGGCAAACUUGCUUUGUUUGGCAGAAUUUUACUGAUUGUCAACUACUGCUUAGGGUUAAUAGUUUGUUCAUGUUAAAUAAUGCAGAAACAUUUAAGGCAUUUGAAACAGUGCUGACCGUGUUUGGUAAUAUUUGGGUGCAGUAUUUAUUCACACCAAAGAGGGAAACUUUGGGAAAAAGUGGAUUAUGGUUUCCACCAAUAAAAUUGGCUGAUUGAUGAUUCUCACUGAGAAAUCAAAAUCAAGAAAUCCACGUUUGUCAGAAAGCUCACUGAAAAAACAAAUACUGAAAUAAAACUAUAAAACUGAUAAUUGCUGGAUUUUCCUCACCAACCUAAAAUGAGUCAUGGUCAUACAUGCUUCUAGUUAACCAUCACAGGUGCGUGCAUGCAUAUAUAACGAGACAACACAUCACAAUCAAACUAGGCAGGGAGAGAACAAGAUUGUCUAAGGUUAUAAUGGAGCAUUACACGAAAAAAUCCUUGUAUUUGCAUGUCCUUCACCCAUAUGUAUUGUUAUAUAAUCAUACCCCUCCAUUUAAUUAAAAAAAACAAACACCACUUUCCUUCAACCAUAGACAGGAAGUCAUUUUUUACCAACACAUGUUCCCUUACAAUUUCUAUCCAUUGUUUUAUAUUUGUUGGUUCUCUUCUACCAUGCCAAAUUAAAUUAUGAAUUUCUUUUAAAACAUGAAGUGAUCCAACAACCAGCCAGCUUUGAAUCCCAUCAGCACAACGCAGCAAACACCUCGCAAUAGUUCACACAUAUGCAAUACCCAAGAUUUCCUCUAAUAUUUAGGACUGUGGGGAAAUGCUUGAGCAGUGCCGUAAAAAGUGCUUACUGAAGUGACACAGGAAGUAGGUGUGAACCUGGAUGGAUAAACGGACAUGUAUACAUACCAAUCAUUAAACAGCACCACAUCGUUAACGCAAGGGUCUCUCAGGACGGACGUUCCUACAAAACAGAAAGUCAAUUUAAGCACGCGAUCAAAAGAAAUACUCUAGGAGAGUUUUUUUUUUUAAAGCCAUGGCAUGUCUCGUCACCACCUUGGACCCAACGCACGAAGGCUAUAAGGUCCAUGGCGGAAGGUGUUCGAGUUGCUCUUGCACUGCCAUUUGAACAAUCCAGUUAGAUAUAUACGACUGGAUGCAGAUACCACACAGUGCUGGAAAAAUGUAAAAUCAAAACAACCUUCAACCAACUUGUCAUGAAAUUCAGGCUCAACACUCACCAGCUGUGGGACAAGUGCGCCCUCGUCUGGACACCAGAGCUGCAACAAGAACAGCACACAGAGUGUUACAACUCACUUUCUUAAACAUUAAAUGUUCCCAAUAUUUCACAAAUCCAAAUGGAACAGUCCAUUUGAACGGUUGAAACCUUUAUCUAAAAUGGUUCCUUACCUGCCAAGAAUCUAAAACAAUCCAUUAGGUCUACACCUUUUUAUAAACCAUAUGGAAACGUUCACUGUCAGUGAUAAUGCACUGACGAAUAUUAACUGAGGAGGCGUGCAGCCCCUGGACACGAAUAAUCAAUGAGAAGAAAACGUUAAUAUGAGCAAAUAAAAAUAAAUCGGAAAGGUUAACGCGGAUAAAAUUGAUUCCCUUUGGAUUUGUCCUGAAGUCAGAAGUGCACAGUGCAAACGUUUUGUCCUGCAGCAUUUGCCCACAGAGUUAACGGGAGUAACACGAUGGGUAAAGCUAUACCACAGAGUUCGUCUUUGAGGCAUUUCCAACGACACGACUCUACUGUGAGGGGCCAGUCGGGAUAGACCUCAGGAAAUUUGUGGUAAAGGGGAAAAACUACAGCUUGCUUACUUGUAUGCUGCACCAACAUCUUCAUGAAGGUCGCAACCCAGGUCGCGUCGGCAGAGCUAGAAAAAUAGAAAACAUCCAAUAAUGAGUACUUCUCUUUUAAAAAAAGCAAAGAAAGACAAAACAACAAUGUGUUCAGAGAGGCUAAUUUCUUUCAUGGGCAUAAGAGCAGUUGAACAUAAAAAGCCAAUCAUCAUGACAAGAAAUUCUUAAAAUAUACAUGGGGGGAAAAUAAAGAAAAAGUGAGAUUUACCUCAAGUUUGGCCAGGAUGGCUAUCCAUGACCUGAAGAAGACAACCAAAAGGUUACUAUGGGUUUGAAUUGAUCCAGGUUGUAAUAAGCAAAAUAAAUAAAUAAAUAAAUAUUUUUAUAAAAAUGUCCAUUCCCAUAAGUAGCACUGCUAUGAUUUGAGCACAGCAGUGAGUUGCUGAGAACAGAGUUGUACUCUUUGCACUGUACUAGUUCAUCACUAAGCCCACCAUCACUAGGCCGUAACUAGGACUGUGCACAUCCAUAGUUAGGAGAAAUGAAUUACUUGCCAUUACUUUUGGAAGCUCUGGAUGCACCAGUGAUGCAGGAAAACAUAAACACCCAGGCAUCCUGAAAAGGGGAACAACAACAAAAAGAAGUGUAAAUACAUGCACGUGAUGCGUUAGUGAUGUUAGGAGUAGGAUAGUGUUAAAGAUGUCCCAGGCCUCAUUGUCACCUCAGCAAUCAAUGGUGCAGAGAUGAAAGCAAACCUGGACAUUAUGUAGCCAUGCAAUCAGUGGAACUGAUCCAUGACAGAGGAAGAAAUUCCAGUUUGUGGACGAUUUCACAUGGCUUUCAUAGAGAAGAAGAGCUGCAGCGCGUGCGCCAGCCCGUGCAGCAUGGCACCGCCUGACUAGCUUAGCUAAACUCACAGCUCGUGUUGAGAAACUGUGCUCGUUGCUCAAGAAAAGAUAGGAUGAUACGAUUGAAAAGAUUUCCUACAAAUUACAUUCCAACUUAAUUAAAUUUACCCUCCAAGCUGCUUGGCUUCAGCACGUGGCGGCUUAUACACGAAAAGUCAACGUGGAGUCUUACAUAUGUGGUUAAAACUGCUCUUAAUUAGGCAUGGUGUCUAAACAGAGCGUACAACGUUAAAAAAAAUAGUGAAUUAAAUGCCAAAACGAAUAUAUUUACCCAGUUAAAGGCGCCAUGUUCUUGUCCAUGUCAGCUAGGCAAAGCGAACAGAAAGAAAGAGACCGGAA
ensembl:lncRNA